GAAGUCGGAUUACUGGGUGUAAGGGCGUGUAGGCGGGGAUGCAAGUUACUGGUAAAAACCCGAGGCUCAACCACGGGCUUGCCGGUAAAACUGUAUCUCUUGAGUGUAGGAGAGGGAAGUGGAAUUCCCGGAGUAGCGGUGAAAUGCGUAGAUACCGGGAGGAACACCAGUGGCGAAGGCGGCUUCCUGGCCUACUACUGACGCUGAGGCGCGAAAGCUAGGGGAGCGAACGGGAUUAGAUACCCCGGUAGUCCUAGCCGUAAACGAUGGUCACUAGGUGUGGGUGGUGGUCAAGCCAUCCGUGCCGGAGCUAACGCAAUAAGUGACCCACCUGGGGAGUACGGCCGCAAGGUUGAAACUCAAAUGAAAUUGACGGA
rnacentral:rRNA from 1 species